rnacentral:tRNA from 1 species
UAGGGAGACCUAUUUACAUCUAGACUGAACCAAUACAGAAUUAGGUCAGGUGUAAGUCAUCCCAAGGUCGAACGAGGAAUAUUGGAAAGCUUUCAAACUAAGUCAGGUUCUGAUUUAAACAACAAAGGGCCAUUAGCUCAGUUGGUUAGAGCGCACGGCUGAUAACCGUGAGGUCACUGGUUCGUGUCCAGUAUGGCCCACUUGAGAAACCUUUGGUGUAAAAGCUAAGGAUAACUCUGGGGAUAUAGCUCAGUUGGUAGAGCGCCUGCUUUGCACGCAGGAAGUCAGGAGUUCGAAUCUCCUUAUCUCCACCAAACUAAGACAGACCAACAAAAGCAAAAGCAAGAGUUUAGCAACUCAUCUAGUCAGGAAACAAACCGACAACUAGAGAGACUGCUAAAUUCUAGCGAGAGCAAAGAAUUUAGAAAGAACCUUGAAAACUGCAUAGUAAUAGUAAUAAGAAGCAAGUAGAUCCAAAGUGGAAACACAGA